GUGAGGAAUAUUGGUCAAUGGGCGAGAGCCUGAACCAGCCAAGUCGCGUGAAGGAAGAAGGAUCUAUGGUUCGUAAACUUCUUUUGCAGGGGAAUAAAGUGCAGGACGUGUCCUGUUUUGUAUGUACCCUGAGAAUAAGGAUCGGCUAACUCCGUGCCAGCAGCCGCGGUAAUACGGAGGAUCCGAGCGUUAUCCGGAUUUAUUGGGUUUAAAGGGUGCGUAGGUGGUUUGAUAAGUCAGCGGUGAAAGUUUGCAGCUUAACUGUAAAAAUGCCGUUGAAACUGUCGGACUUGAGUGUAAAUGAGGUAGGCGGAAUGCGUGGUGUAUCGGUGAAAUGCAUAGAUAUCACGCAGAACUCCGAUUGCGAAGGCAGCUUACUAAGCUACAACUGACACUGAAGCACGAAAGCGUGGGGAUCAAACAGGAUUAGAUACCCGAGUAGUCC
rnacentral:rRNA from 1 species